rnacentral:rRNA from 1 species
GAUGGAAGUUGAAUUGACUGAGUGGCGGACGGGUGAGUAACGCGUGGGUAACCUGCCUUGUACUGGGGGACAACAGUUAGAAAUGACUGCUAAUACCGCAUAAGCGCACAGUAUCGCAUGAUACAGUGUGAAAAACUCCGGUGGUACAAGAUGGACCCGCGUCUGAUUAGCUAGUUGGUAAGGUAACGGCUUACCAAGGCGACGAUCAGUAGCCGACCUGAGAGGGUGACCGGCCACAUUGGGGCUGAGACACGGCCCAAACUCCUACGGGAGGCAGCAGUGGGGAAUAUUGCACAAUGGGCGAAAGCCUGAUGCAGCGACGCCGCGUGAGUGAAGAAGUAUUUCGGUAUGUAAAGCUCUAUCAGCAGGGAAGAAAAUGACGGUACCUGACUAAGAAGCCCCGGCUAACUACGUGCCAGCAGCCGCGGUAAUACGUAGGGGGCAAGCGUUAUCCGGAUUUACUGGGUGUAAAGGGAGCGUAGACGGUAAAGCAAGUCUGAAGUGAAAGCCCGCGGCUCAACUGCGGGACUGCUUUGGAAACUGUUUAACUGGAGUGUCGGAGAGGUAAGUGGAAUUCCUAGUGUAGCGGUGAAAUGCGUAGAUAUUAGGAGGAACACCAGUGGCGAAG